GGCGGACGGGUGAGUAACGCGUGGGUAACCUGCCUCAUACAGGGGGAUAACAGUUAGAAAUGACUGCUAAUACCGCAUAAGACCACAGCACCGCAUGGUGCGGGGGUAAAAACUCCGGUGGUAUGAGAUGGACCCGCGUCUGAUUAGCUAGUUGGUAAGGUAACGGCUUACCAAGGCGACGAUCAGUAGCCGACCUGAGAGGGUGACCGGCCACAUUGGGACUGAGACACGGCCCAA
rnacentral:rRNA from 1 species